rnacentral:rRNA from 1 species
UCCAGACUCCUACGGGAGGCAGCAGUGGGGAAUAUUGGGCAAUGGGCGCAAGCCUGACCCAGCAACGCCGCGUGAAGGAAGAAGGCUUUCGGGUUGUAAACUUCUUUUAAGAGGGAAGAGUAGAAGACGGUACCUCUUGAAUAAGCCACGGCUAACUACGUGCCAGCAGCCGCGGUAAUACGUAGGUGGCAAGCGUUGUCCGGAUUUACUGGGUGUAAAGGGCGUGUAGCCGGGCCGGCAAGUCAGAUGUGAAAUCCAUGGGCUUAACCCGUGAACUGCUUUUGAAACUGCAGGACUUGAGUGGAGUAGAGGUAGGCGGAAUUCCCGGUGUAGCGGUGAAAUGCGUAGAGAUCGGGAGGAACACCAGUGGCGAAGGCGGCCUACUGGGCUUUAACUGACGCUGAAGCACGAAAGCGUGGGUAGCAAACAGGAUUAGAUACCCGCGUA